UACAGAGGUGGCAAGCGUUGUUCGGAAUUACUGGGCGUAAAGGGCGCGUAGGCGGCCAUCUAAGUCAGACGUGAAAUCCCCCGGCUUAACCUGGGAACUGCGUCUGAUACUGGACGGCUUGAGUAUGGGAGAGGGAUGCGGAAUUCCAGGUGUAGCGGUGAAAUGCGUAGAUAUCUGGAGGAACAUCGGUGGCGAAGGCGGCAUCCUAGACCGGCAUUGACGCUGAGGCGCGAAAGCCAGGGGAGCAAACGGG
rnacentral:rRNA from 1 species